AUCACCUCGGAAUCUUGUUAAAAUGCACAUUCUGGCUCAAUAGGGCUAGAUUCUGCAUUUCUAACAAAUUUCUAUGUGAUAUUGA
rnacentral:pre_miRNA from 1 species